rnacentral:ribozyme from 1 species
CUCUUCACCUUACUUACGCAAUUCAGAUAUGGCAGGAAAUUCAGCAGAACUGGCAAUAUGGAUUGCAAGGACAGGGCAACUCUAGUUUUUUAUUUUUUUUUAUUUUUUUUUUUAAAUAAAGAAAUUUAAUAGAACAUAAGUUAAAAUA